AUGUGGGCCCCGUGCGCAGGAGCCCUGUGAACCAUGUCAGGCGGGGAACCGAGCAGCAUUAAGCGGUGGUCUCCUGGUGCUGCGGUCAGUCCGCAUUCG
rnacentral:SRP_RNA from 3 species